UACGAAGGUGGCUAGCGUUGAUCGGAAUUACUGGGCGUAAAGCGCACGCAGGCGGAUUAGUAAGUCAGGGGUGAAAUCCCGGGGCUCAACCUCGGAACUGCCUUUGAUACUGCUGAUCUCGAGUCCGGAAGAGGUGAGUGGAAUUCCUAGUGUAGAGGUGAAAUUCGUAGAUAUUAGGAAGAACACCAGUGGCGAAGGCGGCUCACUGGUCCGGUACUGACGCUGAGGUGCGAAAGCGUGGGGAGCAAACAGG
rnacentral:rRNA from 1 species